GAGUUUGAUCCUGGCUCAGAACGAACGCUGGCGGCGUGCUUAACACAUGCAAGUCAGGGAGAAAGUCUCUUCGGGGAUGAUUAAACCGGCGCACGGGUGAGUAACACGUGAGUGACCUGCCUUUUAGACUGGAACAACUUACCGAAAGGUGAGCUAAUGCCGGAUGAGUUAUAUAAGUGCAUGUUUAUAUAGGAAAAGUUGGGGAGACCUGACGCUGAAAGAUGGACUCGCGUCCCAUUAGCUAGUUGGUAGGGUAAUGGCCUACCAAGGCGACGAUGGGUAGCCGGCCUGAGAGGGUGGCCGGCCACACUGGGACUGAGACACGGCCCAGACUCCUACGGGAGGCAGCAGUGGGGAAUUUUGCGCAAUGCUCGUAAGAGUGACGCAGCGACGCCGCGUGAAUGACGAAGGCCUUCGGGUCGUAAAGUUCUUUCGACAGGGAAGAAAAUGCCUAUAAGUAACUGUGUAUGUAUUGACGGUACCUGUAUAAGCAGCCCCGGCUAACUCCGUGCCAGCAGCCGCGGUAAUACGGAGGGGGCGAGCGUUGUUCGGAGUGACUGGGCGUAAAGAGCACGUAGGCGGUGUUGUAAGUCAUUAGUCAAAGACUAGAGCUCAACUUUAGUAAGGCUAGUGAUACUAUAAUACUAGAGUAUCAGAGAGGAUUGCAGAAUUCCUGGUGUAGCGGUGAAAUGCGUAGAUAUCAGGAGGAAUACCGUUAGCGAAGGCGGCAAUCUGGCUGGAAACUG
rnacentral:rRNA from 1 species